AACGAACGCUGGCGGCAGGCUUAACACAUGCAAGUCGAGCGAGACCUUCGGGUCUAGCGGCGGACGGGUGAGUAACGCGUGGGAACGUGCCCUUCUCUACGGAAUAGCCCCGGGAAACUGGGAGUAAUACCGUAUACGCCCUUUGGGGGAAAGAUUUAUCGGAGAAGGAUCGGCCCGCGUUGGAUUAGGUAGUUGGUGGGGUAAUGGCCCACCAAGCCGACGAUCCAUAGCUGGUUUGAGAGGAUGAUCAGCCACACUGGGACUGAGACACGGCCCAGACUCCUACGGGAGGCAGCAGUGGGGAAUCUUAGACAAUGGGGGCAACCCUGAUCUAGCCAUGCCGCGUGAGUGAUGAAGGCCUUAGGGUUGUAAAGCUCUAUCAGCUGGGAAGAUAAUGACGGUACCAGCAGAAGAAGCCCCGGCUAACUCCGUG
rnacentral:rRNA from 1 species